GACGAACGCUGGCGGCGGGCUUAACACAUGCAAGUCGAACGGAAAGGCCCGGCUUUUGUGCGGUGCUCGAAGGGCGAACGGGUGAGUAACACGUGAGUAACCUGCCCCUGACUGUGGGAUAACUUCAGGAAACUGGGGCUAAUACCGGAUAGGAGCUCCUGCUGCAUGGUGGGGGUUGGAAAGUUUCGGCGGUUGGGGAUGGACUCGCGGCUUAUCAGCUUGUUGGUGGGGUAGUGGCUUACCAAGGCUUGGACGGGUAGCCGGCCUGGGAGGGUGAGCGGCCCCGUUGGGUUGGAAAUGCGGCACGGCCCCAUCCCCGACGGAGCGGAGGAGUAUGUUGCCUUGCGCGAGGGAGCAAAGUGUAGCGCAGCCGCGUCGGGUGUAAGAGGCUGCGCUUAGUAUACCACUUUUGUUUGUGCGGAAGCGUUAGUGACGGUACUGGGUAAAGAAGCCCCGGCUAACUACGUG
rnacentral:rRNA from 1 species